CGUGUAGGCGGUUUGGCAAGUCAGAUGUGAAAGCCCUGGGCUCAACCCGGGAAGUGCAUUUGAAACUGCCAUACUUGAGUAUGGGAGAGGAGGGUGGAAUUCCCAGUGUAGAGGUGAAAUUCGUAGAUAUUGGGAGGAACACCCGUGGCGAAGGCGACUCUCUGGACCAAUACUGACGCUGAGACGCGAAAGCGUGGGGAGCAAACAGGAUUAGAUACCCUGGUAGUCC
rnacentral:rRNA from 1 species